AUACGGAGGGUGCAAGCGUUAAUCGGAAUUACUGGGCGUAAAGCGCGCGUAGGCGGUUUAGUAAGUCGGAUGUGAAAGCCCUGGGCUCAACCUGGGAAUUGCAUUCGAUACUGCUUGACUAGAGUAUGGUAGAGGGAAGUGGAAUUUCCGGUGUAGCGGUGAAAUGCGUAGAUAUCGGAAGGAACACCAGUGGCGAAGGCGACUUCCUGGGCCAAUACUGACGCUGAGGUGCGAAAGCGUGGGGAGCAAACAGGAUUAGAAACCCUGGUAGUCC
rnacentral:rRNA from 1 species